rnacentral:rRNA from 1 species
AGCGAACGCUGGCGGCAGGCCUAACACAUGCAAGUCGAACGAACCUUUCGGGGUUAGUGGCGGACGUGUGAGUAACACGUGGGAACGUGCCCUUAGGUUCGGAAUAACUCAGUGAAACUUGUGCUCAUACCGCAUGUGCCCUUCGGGGGAAAGAUCUGUCGCCUUUGGAGCGGCCCGCGUCUGAUUCGCUAGUUGGUUGAGGUAAUGGCUCUCCAAGGCGACGAUCAGUAGCUGGUCUGAGAGGAUGAUCAGCCACAUUGGGACUGAGACACGGCCCAAACUCCUACGGGAGGGAGCAGUGGGGAAUCUUGCGCAAUGAGCGAAAGCCUGACGCAGCCAUGCCGGGUGAAUGAUGAAGGUCGUAGGAUUGUAAAAUUCUUUCAGCGGGGACGAUAAUGACGGUACCCGGAGAAGAAGCCCCGGCUAACUUCGUG